UGUCGCCUAUAAAAAGAAAAUAAAAAAAGCAUCUUUAAUUGCUCCACCAUUAACCUCUCUUGAUUGAAGACAUGGCAAUAAUGGUUUCGUCAACAUUAGUUCUUUUGUUCGUCGCUGCCAUUUUCAGGAUAAUUUCUCAAGCCGUUGCACAGCCAGCCUUCCUAUACCAUUCCUGUUUAGACGACGACAGGGAUAACUUCAUUUCUGACAGUACAUAUAAGGCAAAUCUCAAUCACCUCCUCCACUCCAUUUCUAACAGUACCGAAAUUAUUAACAACGGAUUCUACAACUCUUCUUAUGGCUCGAACAUCAACGAAGUACACGCGAUUGGACUCUGUAGAGGAGAUGUUCAACUGGAUGUUUGCCGCGGUUGCCUCUACAAUGCUAGUUACCUUCUCCCUGAGCUCUGUCCCGAUCAUAAGGAGGCAAUUGGGUGGUACGACCACUGUAUGCUACGCUACUCAAAUCGCUCCAUUUUGGGCGUCAUAGAAACCAGCCCCAAUUUCACCAUUUGGGGCAUCAAUAACGUAUCGGCUAACUAUGCGGAUCAGUUCUUUGACGUUGCUAGGAGCUUGCUGGAAAGGCUAAGAAGUCGAGCUGCCGCAAGCUAUUCUCUUCGUAAGUUCGCAGCAGGGAAUGCAGCCGUAUCAAACUUCAAAACAAUAUAUGCACUCGUGCAAUGCACGCCUGACUUAUCUGAACAAGAAUGCAACGAUUGCUUGCUUGGGGCAUCUGAAGGUAUUCCACGAUGUUGUGAUGGGAAGGAAGGUGGGAGAAUCGCUAGACCCAGCUGUGAUAUCAGGUUUGAGGUCUACCCCUUCUAUUACUCUACAACUAACUCGCCACCCCCUGCUCAUUCGCCAAUCCCAACUGAUCAUCCUCAAAAGUCGCCUACUAACAAAGGGACCCUGUACUUUAUUCCAAUUUUGGCAUCUAUUACUUUUCUUGGACUAAUCUCGUCCAUCGCGGGCAUCUAUAUAAGGGCGAAGCGGGGAAGGAAGAAAAUUGAAAAUGAGAUAAUUGGAUCCAUACUAUUCGACUUUGACAAUAUUAAAGUUGCGACAAACAACUUUUCCGAAGCAAAUAAACUUCGAGAAAGUGAAUUUGGUACUGUUUACAAGGGUACGUUCUCUAAUAAAGUCAUUACUGUAAAAAGGCUGUCAACGGGUUUUGGACACGAAGGUGUAGAAUUUGAGGAUAAGGUCCUUUCGCUGACUAAACUUCGACACGGUAAUAUUGUUGAGCUCCUAGGCUGUUCCGUUGAAGGAAAUGAAAGACUUCUAAUAUAUGAUUUUGUUCCAAAUACAAGCCUUGAUCACUACCUGUCUGAUCCGCUCAAGCUUGCAACUUUGGAUUGGGAAAUGCGCUACAAAAUCAUAAGAGGCAUUGCACAAGGGGUUCUUUACCUUCAUGAAAAAUCUGAACUAUGUUUUAAUCAUGGUCUUGAAGCUAGUAACAUAUUUGUGGACGAAGAAAUGAAUCCAAAGAUUUCAGAAUUUGGCUUGAAAAGCUUGCUUUCAUUGGAUCAAAUUCCCGAGAAUACAAGUAGAAUUGAGAGGAUCGAAGAAGCUCCGGAUGUAAUGCACCUGCUGUUCGCAAUGAUGUCUGAUGUCUUUAACUUUGGUGUAUUAGUGUUGGAGAUAGUGAGCGGACAGAAGAAUAAUUGCUUUCGAGAUGAGGAGAAUGCGGACACUCUUUUGAGCUAUGCUCGGAGGAACUUCAGCCAAGGAACUGCUUCAAAUAUUAUAGAUCCCACAAUAUUGAUGCCAGAUGGCUCAACAUCUGAAAUAAUAAACUGCAUCCUCACUGCCUUACUCUGUGCUGAAGCAAAUGAAGCUGAUAGACCAACCAUGGCUUCAGUUGUUACCAUGCUCGACGGUACUGACAAACAUGGAAGCAUGGAAACCGAAAUGCCAUCAUUUGAGGAUGAUCAUAGAGUGUUAGGUAGGAGAACUUUCCUUCGGAGGGUCCGCAGUUUGUUUUGGACCAAAAAAGGCGGCUUUCGCGUCCUAGAAUCAUAGUAGACAACGCUGAUCUGAGCCACCAUAUAUAUAGGCAUUCGGAACUUUUGAAUUCUCCCAAUUAUUCCACCAUAUAGAGCGUCUUUGGAGUUGAACGGAGAUGGCAAUGGACGUUCCAAUACUGGAAUUGCCCAACAUAUGUAGGAAAGUUCACUUGGUGAGCCUGAUUAUGGGGAUCUUUCUCUGAUGAACGGCUGAUAGAGGGAUCUUUAGGAAAAGAUAUGUCAUUCAGAACAGGUGAUAGGCAAGCGGGUAAAUGGGCCUAUGUUCCCGACGUUGAAAGCGAAGCCGCGAAAGGUCUGGGAAAAUAUCUUCUAACUACGUGCACAGGGCCCUAGCCUUGUUUCUUGGGUCUGGUUCGGCUUAAAACCAAGGUCCAAGUCCGUGCAAAGCCAGCCAUCAGUGGCAAACUUGUUUUGCAUUGUUGACCGAGAAUUAUACUAUUUGCAUUGACCUGA